CCCUUAGAUGUUCUGGGCCGCACGCGCGCUACACUGACGAAGUCAGCGAGCAUGUCCUACGCCGACAGGUGCGGGGAAUCUUGUCAAACUUCGUCGUGAUGGGGAUUGAUUUUUGAAAUUCUUGAUCAUAAACGAGGAAUUCCUAGUAAGCGCAAGUCAGCAGCUUGCGUUGAUUACGUCCCUGCCCUUUGUACACACCGCCCGUCGCUACUACCGAUUGAAUGGUUUAGUGAGAUCUUCGGAUUGGCGCCACUACAGCUCAGCAAUGGGCUUGGUGGAUGCCGAAAAGUUGAUCGAACUUGAUCAUUUAGAGGAAGUAAAAGUCGUAACA
rnacentral:rRNA from 1 species